ACAGGUGGGGUGGGCCUUUCUUGGGUCAACUAAGUCUUCUUGUCCCUUUACUCAGUGCCCACCCCCCAACUUAUUGAGUGCUGAGUGUGUGCUAUGCUCGGAGCUUCACCUGCACCAUCUCACUGACUGAGCAAUACCAGGAGGUCGUUCCCCUCUUGUGUGACAGAUGAGGAUGCUGAGGCUUACAGGGGUUGAGCGCUUAGCCAAGACCACCCCCGUAGUAAGGGGCUACAGCAACUACUCUUUUUGUCAGCCUAUUUCCCACUCCAUGCCUCUUCUAGUAAGAGAUGAUGUUCCCUUGGCCACAGGGAGGGCCUGUAACCUAAGCCAGCCCGGUGGGACUUUUCCAAUCAGAGUUGGUGGAAAGAGUGCCUUCCCUUCUGGCGCUGGGGUGCUAAGGAUGCAACUCCCGGGCUGCCUGUAGCCAAGGAGCCAGCCUCAAAGGACAGCCAGGCGAGAAUGAAGCAACCCUGCAGAGAAGACCAGGAAAAAGGAAGAGGCAAAGCCCUGCGAGUUCUAGGCAGCCCCCAGGUGGCAGAUUAUGGAGGGUGAAGGCAUCCUCUCCCCUAGUCCUUGUCCUGAGGAUGAGCAACCUCAAGCCCGUCCCAAGUUCCUGACUCCACAGACUUCACACACUGAGCCCCCAGCCUGUGCCAGCUCUAGAUCUCAGUCAUCAGAAACUGCAGCUGAGAACAUCAGUCCAUGGCAGACCUGCCCGGUCCACUACAUUAGCCGCUAAGUCACAUGUGGCACUGAGCGCUUGGAAUGAGAUGUGCCCUGCACCCCGAUGUUUAUAGCAGCAAUGUCCACAAUAGCCAAACUGUGGAAAGAGCCAAGAUAUCCAUCGGCAGAUGAAUGGAUAAAGAAGAUGUGGUAUAUAUAUACAAUGGAAUAUUAUGCAGCCAUCAAAAGGAAUGAGAUCUUGCCCUUUGCAACGACGUGGAUGGAACUGGAGGGUUUUAUGCUGAGUGAAAUAAGUCAUUCAGAGAAAGACAUGUAUCAUAUGACCUCACUGAUAUGAGGAAUUCUUAAUCGCAGGAAACAAACUGAGGGUUGC